UGCAGUCGACGAGACCUUCGGGUCUAGUGGCGCACGGGUGCGUAACGCGUGGGAAUCUGCCCUUGGGUUCGGAAUAACAGAGAGAAAUUUCUGCUAAUACCGGAUGAUGACGUAAGUCCAAAGAUUUAUCGCCCAGGGAUGAGCCCGCGUAGGAUUAGCUAGUUGGUGGGGUAAAGGCUCACCAAGGCGACGAUCCUUAGCUGGUCUGAGAGGAUGAUCAGCCACACUGGGACUGAGACACGGCCCAGACUCCUACGGGAGGCAGCAGUGGGGAAUAUUGGACAAUGGGCGCAAGCCUGAUCCAGCAAUGCCGCGUGAGUGAUGAAGGCCUUAGGGUUGUAAAGCUCUUUUACCCGGGAUGAUAAUGACAGUACCGGGAGAAUAAGCUCCGGCUAACUCCGUGCCAGCAGCCGCGGUAAUACGGAGGGAGCUAGCGUUAUUCGGAAUUACUGGGCGUAAAGCGCACGUAGGCGGCUUUGUAAGUUAGAGGUGAAAGCCUGGAGCUCAACUCCAGAAUUGCCUUUAAGACUGCAUCGCUUGAAUCCAGGAGAGGUGAGUGGAAUUCCGAGUGUAGAGGUGAAAUUCGUAGAUAUUCGGAAGAACACCAGUGGCGAAGGCGGCUCACUGGACUGGUAUUGACGCUGAGGUGC
rnacentral:rRNA from 1 species